rnacentral:ncRNA from 1 species
GAAAAAGAGGAGCGGACGAACAAGAGUACCGCGCGCACAGGAACAGGAAGGCAUUCCGCACGAUGCGCACGCGAAAGGGUAUCUCCGCCGAAGCGCAUUGCCGCCCUUCCCGCGAUGCGCUGGGUCUGCGGGAGAAUACCCGCUUUCCUGUCACCCCGCGGUGAAGCGCUUUU